UGGCAUGCUCUGUAAUGAAUAUAUGAAUAUGAAAAAGGUGAAAAAGGAAGAAAAAAAAAUUCAUGAGAAAAAUAAAAUAAAAAUAAUAAUAAAUAAACGGGAAUUAUUGUAAUGUAUACAGUGUGAAAUGCUUGGGUUCCUAUUGAGUGAUGAGGCAUUAACAUCAAGGGUUAAAACGUUUACUUUUAAUAAUAUAUUUUUGCACCAAACUGAAUAAAAUACUAUUUUGCUCAUCUGAGAGUACCGUUGAUCCAAAAAGCAAAGUUUUUGUGUUUACUUGGACAGGAAGAACUGAAAUAGAAUCUAAUAGUUCAUGUCUUAAAUUAGUGUAUAUAGGACAAGAUAACAGAAAGUGAGUAUUUGUUUCUACAUCACCACAACGACAGUUUGGAGAGUCUACUAAAUUACGAACGAAAAGGUGAGAAUUCAAAGAACUUGAAUCCAUUCUUAAGCGAGCAUGAAGAAUUUG
rnacentral:lncRNA from 1 species